AUUGAACGCUGGCGGCAGGCCUAACACAUGCAAGUCGAGCGGCAGCGGGACCUUCGGGUCGCCGGCGAGCGGCGGACGGGUGAGUAAUGCCUAGGAAUCUGCCUGUUAGUGGGGAAUAACGCGGGGAAACUCGCGCUAAUACCGCAUACGUCCUACGGGAGGAAGGGGGGGACCCUCGGGCCUCACGCGAACAGAUGAGCCUAGGUCGGAUUAGCUAGUUGGUGGGGUAAAGGCCCACCAAGGCGACGAUCCGUAACUGGUCUGAGAGGAUGAUCAGUCACACUGGAACUGAGACACGGUCCAGACUCCUACGGGAGGCAGCAGUGGGGAAUAUUGGACAAUGGGCGAAAGCCUGAUCCAGCCAUGCCGCGUGUGUGAAGAAGGUCUUCGGAUUGUAAAGCACUUUAAGUUGGGAGGAAGGGCGCUCGGUGAAUACCCAGGCGUCUUGACGUUACCGACAGAAUAAGCACCGGCUAACUUCGUGCCAGCCGCCGCCGUAAAAC
rnacentral:rRNA from 1 species